CCUACGGGGGGCAGCAGUGAGGAAUAUUGGUCAAUGGCCGAGAGGCUGAACCAGCCAAGUCGCGUGAGGGAUGACGGCCCUACGGGUUGUAAACCUCUUUUGUCGGGGAGCAAAGAGAGUCACGUGUGGCUCCUUGAGAGUACCCGAAGAAAAAGCAUCGGCUAACUCCGUGCCAGCAGCCGCGGUAAUACGGAGGAUCCGAGGGUUAUCCGGAUUUAUUGGGUUUAAAGGGAGCGUAGAUGGGUUGUUAAGUCAGUUGUGAAAGUUUGCGGCUCAACCGUAAAAUUGCAAUUGAUACUGGCAGUCUUGAGUACAGUUGAGGUAGGCGGAAUUCGUGGUGUAGCGGUGAAAUGCUUAGAUAUCACGAAGAACCCCGAUUGCGAAGGCAGCUUACUAAACUGUGACUGACAUUGAUGCUCGAAAGUGUGGGUAUCAAACAGGAUUAGAUACCCUAGUAGUC
rnacentral:rRNA from 1 species